UUGAUACUCCCUCCGUCCGGAAAUACUUGUCCGAGGAACGGAUGUAUCUGAUAUAUUUUAGUUCUAGAUACAUCCAUUUGUAUCCAUUUCUACGACAAGUAUUUUUGGACAGAGGGAGUAGGUU
rfam:Triticum aestivum genome assembly, contig: Triticum_aestivum_CS42_TGACv1_scaffold_222189_3B